rnacentral:rRNA from 1 species
AGCGUGAAGGAUGACGGCCCUACGGGUUGUAAACUUCUUUUGUGCGGGAAUAAAGGAGCCUACGUGUAGGCUUUUGCAUGUACCGUAACGAAUAAGCAUCGGCUAACUCCGUGCCAGCAGCCGCGGUAAUACGGAGGAUGCGAGCGUUAUCCGGAUUUAUUGGGUUUAAAGGGAGCGUAGACGGGUUCUUAAGUCAGCUGUGAAAGUUUGGGGCUCAACCUUAAAAUUGCAGUUGAAACUGGAGACCUUGAGUACGGUUGAGGCAGGCGGAAUUCGUGGUGUAGCGGUGAAAUGCUUAGAUAUCACGAAGAACCCCGGUCGACGCGGCCG